GACUUCAUGGUGUAGUGGAAUCACAUCUGUCUAACAUACAGAAGGUCCUCAGAUCGAAACUGGAUGGGUGAAGUCA
rnacentral:tRNA from 1 species